rnacentral:rRNA from 1 species
AUUGAACGCUGGCGGAAUGCUUUACACAUGCAAGUCGAACGGCAGCACGGGGCAACCUGGUGGCGAGUGGCGAACGGGUGAGUAAUACAUCGGAACGUGCCCAAUCGUGGGGGAUAACGUAGCGAAAGUUACGCUAAUACCGCAUACGAUCUACGGAUGAAAGCGGGGGAUCGCAAGACCUCGCGCGAAUGGAGCGGCCGAUGUCAGAUUAGGUAGUUGGUGGGGUAAAGGCUCACCAAGCCAACGAUCUGUAGCUGGUCUGAGAGGACGACCAGCCACACUGGAACUGAGACACGGUCCAGACUCCUACGGGAGGCAGCAGUGGGGAAUUUUGGACAAUGGGCGCAAGCCUGAUCCAGCCAUUCCGCGUGCAGGAUGAAGGCCUUCGGUUGUAACUAGCUUUGUACGGUAACGAAACGGUACUGCCCUAAUACGCGGGCGUAAGUGACGGUACCGUAAGGAAGUAAAGACACCGGCUAACUACGUAGCCAGCAGCCGCGGU